rnacentral:tRNA from 1 species
GGUGAGAUGGCCGAGUGGUUGAAGGCGUACGCCUGGAAAGCGUAUAUAUGGAAACGUAUCAGGGGUUCGAAUCCCCUUCUCACCU